rnacentral:rRNA from 1 species
UACGAAGGGGGCUAGCGUUGCUCGGAAUCAUUGGGCGUAAAGCGCACGUAGGCGGAUUGUUAAGUCAGGGGUGAAAUCCUGGAGCUCAACUCCAGAACUGCCUUUGAUACUGGCGAUCUCGAGUCCGGGAGAGGUGAGUGGAACUGCGAGUGUAGAGGUGAAAUUCGUAGAUAUUCGCAAGAACACCAGUGGCGAAGGCGGCUCACUGGCCCGAUACUGACGCUGAGGCACGAAAGCGUGGGGAGCAAACAGG